UAGGGAAUCUUUGGCAAUGGACGGAAGUCUGACCGAGCAACGCCGCGUGAGUGAAGAAGGUUUUCGGAUCGUAAAGCUCUGUUGUUAGAGAAGAACGUUGGUAGGAGUGGAAAAUCUACCAAGUGACGGUAACUAACCAGAAAGGGACGGCUAACUACGUGCCAGCAGCCGCGGUAAUACGUAGGUCCCGAGCGUUGUCCGGAUUUAUUGGGCGUAAAGCGAGCGCAGGCGGUUCUUUAAGUCUGAAGUUAAAGGCAGUGGCUUAACCAUUGUACGCUUUGGAAACUGGAGGACUUGAGUGCGGAAGGGGAGAGUGGAUUUCCAUGUGUAGCGGUGAAAUGCGUAGAUAUAUGGAGGAACACCGGUGGCGAACGCGGCUCUCUGGUCUGUCACUGACGCGGAGGCUCGAAAGCGUGGGGAGCAAACAGG
rnacentral:rRNA from 1 species